rnacentral:rRNA from 1 species
GUGGGGAAUAUUGGACAAUGGGGGGAACCCUGAUCCAGCCAUGCCGCGUGUGUGAAGAAGGCCUUUUGGUUGUAAAGCACUUUAAGUGGGGAGGAGGCUUACCUGGUUAAUACCUAGGCUAAGUGGACGUUACCCACAGAAUAAGCACCGGCUAACUCUGUGCCAGCAGCCGCGGUAAUACAGAGGGUGCGAGCGUUAAUCGGAUUUACUGGGCGUAAAGCGCGCGUAGGUGGUUAAUUAAGUCAAAUGUGAAAUCCCCGAGCUUAACUUGGGAAUUGCAUUCGAUACUGGUUGGCUAGAGUAUGGGAGAGGAUGGUAGAAUUCCAGGUGUAGCGGUGAAAUGCGUAGAGAUCUGGAGGAAUACCGAUGGCGAAGGCAGCCAUCUGGCCUAAUACUGACACUGAGGUGCGAAAGCAUGGGGAGCAAACAGGAUUAGAAACCCGGGUAGUCC